rnacentral:rRNA from 1 species
UACGGAGGGUGCAAGCGUUAUCCGGAUUUACUGGGUUUAAAGGGUGUGUAGGCGGGCUUUUAAGUCAGUGGUGAAAUCUCCGGGCUCAACCUGGAAACUGCCAUUGAUACUAUUAGUCUUGAAUUUUGUUGAGGUAGGCGGAAUAAGUCAUGUAGCGGUGAAAUGCAUAGAUAUGUCACAGAACACCAAUUGCGAAGGCAGCUUACUAUGGUAUGAUUGACGCUGAGGCACGAAAGCGUGGGGAUCAAACAGGA